rnacentral:rRNA from 1 species
UAUUAAAGUUGUUGCGGUUAAAAAGCUCGUAGUCGAAUUUGUGUCCCGCGCCGCCGGUUCAUCGUACGCGGUGUUAACUGGCGUGUCGCGGGACGUCCUGCCGGUGGGCCUAAGUCCGCAAGGGCGUCGGCCCGACCCAAUCCCGCCGCGGUGCUCUUCAUUGAGUGUCGAGGUGGGCCGGCACGUUUACUUUGAACAAAUUAGAGUGCUUAAAGCAGGCUAAAACUUCGCCUGAAUACUGUGUGCAUGGAAUAAUGGAAUAGGACCUCGGUUCUAUUUUGUUGGUUUUCGGAACUCCGAGGUAAUGAUUAAUAGGAACGGAUGGGGGCAUUCGUAUUGCGACGUUAGAGGUGAAAUUCUUGGAUCGUCGCAAGACGGACAGAAGCGAAAGCAUU